GACGUAGGGGGCCAGCGUUGCUCGGAAUUAUUGGGCGUAAAGAGCUCGUAGGCGGUUUGUCGCGUCUGCUGUGAAAAUCCAGGGCUUAACCCUGGACCUGCAGUGGGGUACGGGCAGACUAGAGUGAUGUAGGGGAGACUGGAAUUCCUGGUGUAGCGGUGAAAUGCGCAGAUAUCAGGAGGAACACCGAUGGCGAAGGCAGGUCUCUGGGCAUUAACUGACGCUGAGGAGCGAAAGCAUGGGGAGCGAACAGG
rnacentral:rRNA from 1 species